AUUGAACGCUGGCGGCAGGCCUAACACAUGCAAGUCGAACGGUAACAGGAAGAAGCUUGCUUCUUUGCUGACGAGUCGCGGACGGGUGAGUAAUGUCUGGGAAACUGCCUGAUGGAGGGGGAUAACUACUGAAAACGGUAGCUAAUACCGCAUAACGUCUCAAGACCAAAGAGGGGUACCUUCGGGCCUCUUGCCAUCGGAUGUGCCCAGAUGGGGUUAGCUUGUUGGUGGGGUAACGGCUCACCAAGGCGACGAGCCAUAGCUGGUCUGAGAGGAUGACCGGCCACACUGGAACUGAGACACGGUCCAGACUCCUACGGGAGGCAGCAGUGGGGAAUAUUGCGCAAUGGGCGCAAGCCUGAUGCAGCCAUGCCGCGUGUAUGAAGAAGGCCUUCGGGUUGUAAAGUACUUUUAGCGGGGAGGAAGGGAGUAAAGUUAAUACCUUUGCUCAUUGACGUUACCCGCAGAAGAAGCACCGGCUAACUCCGUG
rnacentral:rRNA from 1 species